rnacentral:tRNA from 1 species
GCUAUGGUGGUUCAGUAGUAGAAGUCUCACCUUCCACGUGGGAGACUUGGGUUUGAUUCCCAGCCAGUGCU